GGCAUACUUAUUGAUCUUCUCAACAAAAAGAAAAAAAGGAACAAAGAGAAAAACUAGAGAAGAAGAAGUAAGAAUGGAUAUGUGUACUGAUCUUGAGACAAGGUUGCUGAAUCAUGGAAAGAGGGCCAAACAUCUUUAAUCUCUGCUAUGAAGCCACCACACGUGACCACUAUGCAACUUUAAUCAUUAGCUCCAUAUACACAAUGAGGAACAAAACUGUACAUGCUUUUCCAAAGAACAAACAAAAACACCCCCCCUCUCUCCAUCUCUCUAUCUCUCUCUCUCUCUCUCUCUCACUC
rnacentral:lncRNA from 1 species